rnacentral:rRNA from 1 species
AUUGAACGCUGGCGGCAUGCCUUACACAUGCAAGUCGAACGGCAGCACGGGAGCAAUCCUGGUGGCGAGUGGCGAACGGGUGAGUAAUAUAUCGGAACGUGCCCAGUCGUGGGGGAUAACGUAGCGAAAGCUACGCUAAUACCGCAUACGAUCUAUGAAUGAAAGCGGGGGAUCGCAAGACCUCGCGCGAUUGGAGCGGCCGAUAUCAGAUUAGGGAGUUGGUGGGGUAAAGGCUCACCAAGCCGACGAUCUGUAGCUGGUCUGAGUGGACGACCAGCCACACUGGGACUGAGACACGGCCCAGACUCCUACGGGAGGCAGCAGUGGGGAAUUUUGGACAAUGGGCGCAAGCCUGAUCCAGCAAUGCCGCGUGCAGGAUGAAGGCCUUCGGGUUGUAAACUGCUUUUGUACGGAGCGAAAAGGCUUCCACUAAUACUGGGGGCUCAUGACGGUACCGUAAGAAUAAGCACCGGCUAACUACGUGCCAGCCGCCGCCGUAACAC